rnacentral:rRNA from 1 species
UACGUAGGGUGCGAGCGUUGCCCGGAUUUAUUGGGCGUAAAGGGCGCGUAGGCGGCUCGGCACGUCCGUUGUGAAAUCGCCCGGCUCAACUGGGCGGGGUCAGCGGAUACGGUCGAGCUUGAGCAAGCUAGGGGGCAAUGGAAUUUCCUGUGUAGCGGUGAAAUGCGUAGAUAUAGGAAGGAAUACCAGUGGCGAAGGCGGCCUCCUGGAUCGACACUGACGCUGAGGCGCGAAAGCGUGGGGAGCAAACAGG